GAGGAGACUGUAACGUAUCCCUAAUUGAGCACCCAGGUGGUGUGACACUUCUGCCCUGUCCCUGCCCUCAGAGGAGAUUCUGACAUAUCACUGCCCCAAAAUGCAGGUGCUGUGAGUCUACUAGUCAGUCCCUUUUCAUUGGUGGGAUUGUGAUGCAUAUCUUGUUCAAACUUAAAGGUGCAAUAAUGAUUUUCAAACUUCGAAAAAACCAAUAGCAGAUACACUAUCUCUCAUAGCCAGGGUCAGGAAAAUGAGUAAUGUCUUGGGUCUCCUCUUUGUAUGAAGGUCAUAAAGAACACUCUGUCACAUACUGUGUAAAGUUGUCAAGAGGUACAGAGAAUGUCCUAACAGAACUCAGCACACAGAGGAGGUUGUGACACUCAUAUGCAUAGCCUGCCAACAGUAAAGACUGUCAUCCUUCCACAUAAACACAGCUCACUGUUGAGGUUCUGAAGCUCUUAUGCAGAUGCAGUCAAAAGUUGGAAAAUUGAAUCUCAUUAUGUGAAUUCGAUCCAUAGAGAUGUUAGUGUCUCUGACACCAAGAUUCAGCACACCUGUGAGUCGGUGACUUCACUAAAAUGACACAAUUUGCAGGAGGGAUUGAGGUUCUCAUAUGCAAAUUCAGACUAUCAUUGAGAUUGUCACUCAGGUACUUACACCCAAGAUACAGAGGGAAUUAUGUCUCAGCUAGAACUAAAAAAUGUGUGAAAUUGUUAAUCUCAUACCUCAACCUUAAUUCAGCUGUGUUUGUGACAUACACCUUUUUUUAGCACCUGAGUAAUUUGACUCUCCUGCCUGGACCCAGCGUACAGAUGGGAUUGUGCUUCAUUGCUGGACCCAGCAUUUAGGCCCACUACCUAUGAGAUUGCAUGCUCCUGCCUGGGCUGUGCCCACAGUGACCUUGUGACAUAUAUCUGCAUCCAUGACCUAAAAGAUGUGACACUUCUUGCCUGCAACCUGCCCUGCACAGGAAAGAUUGCGACUUCUCCCUGGAAGCAGACACCAGGAGAGAACUGUAACAUAUCCCUGGAUGAGCACCCAGGUGAUGUGAUAUUCCUGCUUGGUUCUUUCCCUCAGGGAAGAUUGUGAGAUACCCUUGGCUGAAAUCCCAGGUCAUACAGAAUUGCCACCCUCCAACAUAUCAUAUAAUGCCCUCGAGUGUUACAAAGAGUGUUAUCCCAAGGCACACAGCACAAAGGGAUCGUCACUCCCGUGGAUGAUCAAAGGCGCCUGUAAUUUCAGCUACUCCGGGGGCUGAGGCAGGAGAAUCGCUUGAACUCGGGAAGCAGAAGUUGCAGUGAGCCAAGGUCGCACCACUGCACUCCAGCCCAGGCGACAUUGUGAGACUCCAUCUCAAAAAAAAAAAAAAGAAAAAAAGUGUACUAACAAGACCCAGCACACAGAGGAGACUUUUACCAUUGUAUGAACACCCAUCAAACAGUACACAUCAUCAUUGUGAGUUCUGAAUCUCACACAUAGAGGAAGUCAAAGGUGGAAAACUUGACUCUCAUAUUUGGAUCCAGUCCACAGGUGUGAUUUUGACGCACACUUCUGCCCAGCACCUGAGUAAUGUGAUUCUUCAGAAUUGGCCCGGCCCACAAAUAGGAUUGUGCCACACUGCUGGACCCAGUGCCUAAGUGAUGUAACUCUAUUCUUCUGCCUUGGUGCUACUCGAAAAAGACAUUGUAACAUAUCUCAGAGCCUUACACCCAGGUAAUGUGAGUCUCCUCUUCUGCCUUGCUGCUGCACACAGAAGCGGAAUAUGUACAGGAUUGUUAAUCUCAUCUUGGAUCUUCCUGCACUUGUGAUUGUGACACAUGCCUCUGUGUAGAACCUGAGUGAGUUUACUCUCCUGCCUGGAUUUAACCCAUAGAUGGAAUCGUGACAUAUCACUGUACCAGAAACUAGGUGAUGUGACUCUAUUUUCUUGCCUCUGUGUUUUUAUAUGGGGCAUCGUGACAUAUCACUGGGCCUUGCACCCAAGUGAUGGGAGUUUUCUCUCCUGCUUUGGUGCCGUCCACAAUGAAAAUUGUGAAAUAUUGCUGCCCUCCCCACUAGGUUAUGUUACUCUCCUGCCUCUGCUUUGCCCACAUGGGUCACUGUGACAUAUUGCUGGGUCUAAAACCCAGGUAAUGUCACUCUCUUGUUUGGGUUCUGCCUGCAGGAGUCAUUGUCACAUAUCUCUAUGCUCAUCACCCAGGUAAUAUGAUUCCCUUUUACUGCUUAGUUCCUUCUCACAAAACAACUUGUGACAUAUUGCUAGGCCCAAUACACCUAGCUGGUGUAACUCUUCUUUUCUUUUCUUUCCUUUUUUUUUUUUUUUUUUUGAGAUGGAGUCUCACUCUGUUGCCCAGGCUGGAGUGCAGCGGCAUGAUUUCAGCUCACUACAGCCUCUGCCUCCUAGGUUGAAGCGAUUGUCCUGACUUGGCCUCCCAAGUAGCUGGGAUUAAAGGCAUGUGCCACCACGCCCGGCUAAUUUUUGUAUUUAUAGUAGAGACAGGGUUUCGCCAUGUUGGCUAGGCUGGUUUCGAACUUCUAACCUCAGGUGAUCCUCCUGCCUCGGCCUCCCAAAGUACUGGAAUUACAGGCAUGAGCCACUGCACCUGGCCUGAUUCUUCUCUUCUUUCUAGGUUUCAACUGCAGCAGAGAUUGUAACAAACCACUGGGCCCAGCCGCAUAAUGAUGUUACUCUUUUGCCUUGGGCCUGCCCUCAGAAGGCACUGUCACAUAUUCAUGGGCCCAACGCCAAGGUGAUAUGUGUCUCCAGCCUGGACCCUGCCCACAGGGGGCAUUGUGACAUAUCUCUUGGCCCAUCAGAUGUUUGAUUGUUAUCCCCUCCCCUCUUCUACCCUGUGUUUGCCUAUAAAAGACACAGUCAUAUGUUCCUGGGCCCAGCACCUAGGUGUUGUCUUACUGGAAUGUGUCCACAUGGGGAUUGUGAUAUGUCACGUGGCCCAGUACUUAACUUGAUGUGACUCUCCUCUCAUGCCUAGGCCUUGUAGAGAAUCCCCUUCCCCUUUUGUUUUCCUUUUUUUCUUUGCAGAUCCAGGAGAUAAUCAACUAAGAGCCAGGCACCCGUUUAGGUCUAAUAAACAUUUUACAAACUGCUCUCUCUUUUAAUUCACCUAUCUGAGAGAUUCCUCUGUACAAUAAAACUUGGUCUCCACAAUCCUUUACCUUAACCUAAACCUUCCCUUUCAUUGAUCCCAGGUCUUCAGAUUCCACCACUUGUCAACCACAAAAUAUUUAAAUUUACCUGGAAGCCGCCCGCUUUGAGUUGUCCCGCCUUUCUGAACCAAACCAAUAUAUUCCUGCAAAACCGGCCAUGAUUAAAACAUCAAAAAAUAAUACAUGUUGGCGUGGCUGUGGUGAAAAAAGAAUACUUUUUCACUGCUGGUGGGUAUGUAAACUAGUACAACCACUAUGAAAAACAGUAUGGAGAUUCAUUAAAUAAAAGUAAAGCUACCAUUUGAUUAAGCAAUUCUACUACUGUGUAUCUACAUGAAGAAAAAGAAAUUAUAUGUGUAAGACACUUGCACACACAUGUUUAUAGCAGCACAAUUUGCAAUUGCAAAAAUAUGGAAGCAGCCUAAUGCCCAUCAGCUAAUGAGUGGAAAAAGAAAAUGUGGCAUAUAUAUACCAAUGCAUACUACUCAGCCCUAACGAGGAAUAAAAUAAUAGCAUUUGCAGCAAUCUCGAUUUAGUUGGAGACCAUUAUUCUAAGUAACUCAGCAAUAAAAAA
rnacentral:lncRNA from 10 species